GACGAACGCUGGCGGCGUGCUUAACACAUGCAAGUCGAACGGUGAAGCUCCAGCUUGCUGGAGUGGAUCAGUGGCGAACGGGUGAGUAACACGUGAGCAACCUGCCCCUGACUCUGGAAUAAGCGCUGGAAACGGCGUCUAAUACUGGAUACGAGAAGGGUCCGCAUGGGCACUUUCUGGAAAGUUUUUCGGUUGGGGAUGGGCUCGCGGCCUAUCAGCUUGUUGGUGAGGUAAUGGCUCACCAAGGCGACGACGGGUAGCCGGCCUGAGAGGGCGACCGGCCACCAUGGGACUGAGACACGGCCCAGACUCCUACGGGAGGCAGCAGUGGGGAAUAUUGCACAAUGGGCGAAAGCCUGAUGCAGCGACGCCGCGUGAGGGAUGACGGCCUUCGGGUUGUAAACCUCUUUCAGCAGGGAAGAAGCGAAAGUGACGGUACCUGCAGAAGAAGCACCGGCUAACUACGUG
rnacentral:rRNA from 1 species